GACGAACGCUGGCGGCGUGCUUAACACAUGCAAGUCGAACGGAAAGGCCCUGCUUUUGUGGGGUGCUCGAGUGGCGAACGGGUGAGUAACACGUGAGUAACCUGCCCUUGACUUUGGGAUAACUUCAGGAAACUGGGGCUAAUACCGGAUAGGAGCUCCUGCUGCAUGGUGGGGGUUGGAAAGUUUCGGCGGUUGGGGAUGGACUCGCGGCUUAUCAGCUUGUUGGUGGGGUAGUGGCUUACCAAGGCUUUGACGGGUAGCCGGCCUGAGAGGGUGACCGGCCACAUUGGGACUGAGAUACGGCCCAGACUCCUACGGGAGGCAGCAGUGGGGAAUAUUGCACAAUGGGCGGAAGCCUGAUGCAGCAACGCCGCGUGCGGGAUGACGGCCUUCGGGUUGUAAACCGCUUUCGCCUGUGACGAAGCGUGAGUGACGGUAAUGGGUAAAGAAGCACCGGCUAACUACGUGCCAGCAGCCGCGGUGAUACGUAGGGUGCGAGCGUUGUCCGGAUUUAUUGGGCGUAAAGGGCUCGUAGGUGGUUGAUCGCGUCGGAAGUGUAAUCUUGGGGCUUAACCCUGAGCGUGCUUUCGAUACGGGUUGACUUGAGGAAGGUAGGGGAGAAUGGAAUUCCUGGUGGAGCGGUGGAAUGCGCAGAUAUCAGGAGGAACACCAGUGGCGAAGGCGGUUCUCUGGGCCUUUCCUGACGCUGAGGAGCGAAAGCGUGGGGAGCGAACAGGCUUAGAUACCCUGGUAGUCCACGCUGUAAACGGUGGGUACUAGGUGUGGGGUCCAUUCCACGGGUUCCGUGCCGUAGCUAACGCUUUAAGUACCCCGCCUGGGGAGUACGGCCGCAAGGCUAAAACUCAAAGGAAUUGACGGGGCCCCGCACAAGCGGCGGAGCAUGCGGAUUAAUUCGAUGCAACGCGUAGAACCUUACCUGGGUUUGACAUGGAUCGGGAGUGCUCAGAGAUGGGUGUGCCUCUUUUGGGGUCGGUUCACAGGUGGUGCAUGCCUGUCGUCAGCUCGUGUCGUGAGAUGCUGGGUUAAGUCCCGCAACGAGCGCAACCCUUGUUCACUGUUGCCAGCACGUUAUGGUGGGGACUCAGUGGAGACCGCCGGGGUCAACUCGGAGGAAGGUGGGGAUGACGUCAAGUCAUCAUGCCCCUUAUGUCCAGGGCUUCACGCAUGCUACAAUGGCUGGUACAGAGAGUGGCGAGCCUGUGAGGGUGAGCGAAUCUCGGAAAGCCGGUCUCAGUUCGGAUUGGGGUCUGCAACUCGACCUCAUGAAGUCGGAGUCGCUAGUAAUCGCAAAUCAGCAACGCUGCGGUGAAUACGUUCCCGGG
rnacentral:rRNA from 1 species